rnacentral:rRNA from 1 species
GAUGAACGCUGACAGAAUGCUUAACACAUGCAAGUCAACUUGAAUUUGGGUUUUUAACUUAGAUUUGGGUGGCGGACGGGUGAGUAACGCGUAAAGAACUUGCCUCACAGCUAGGGACAACAUUUAGAAAUGAAUGCUAAUACCUGAUAUUAUGGUUAUAGGGCAUCCUAUAAUUAUGAAAGCUAUAAGCACUGUGAGAGAGCUUUGCGUCCCAUUAGCUAGUUGGAGAGGUAACAGCUCACCAAGGCGAUGAUGGGUAGCCGGCCUGAGAGGGUGAACGGCCACAAGGGGACUGAGACACGGCCCUUACUCCUACGGGAGGCAGCAGUGGGGAAUAUUGGACAAUGGACCGAGAGUCUGAUCCAGCAAUUCUGUGUGCACGAUGAAGUUUUUCGGAAUGUAAA